UUUCCAGCUGAUUCUGUCCUGAUCCCGGAUUUGGGGGCACAGGGGGAGGAGAAAAGACAAGGAAAGCAACUAGUAGAGAUCCCCAAGCGUCUCUAGGCCCACAGCUCCUCGUCAAGGGCCUCUGGAGCUGAAAACAUGGUCACUCCUCAGUGAAAAUAAUGAAAAGGGCCAGGAUUCUAAAUUCCUUCGACUUACCUCUCCUCAAAGUAAUCCAUUUAAACCUGGAAUAUAGAUUCCCCGGUCGUUUUUUCCACAUUUAAAUUAUUCCCUCCUAUGGGCUCUUUUUUGUUCCCUAAUAUUUCCUAAGAUGUCUCUCAAAAAUUUUCUGCAACAGAGCCCAAAAAGGUGCCAGUGUACACUAGGCGCUCAACAGAGAUGUGCAGAGUGAAUGAAUACGUGUUUCUGUUGACAAAGACUGGAAGCUUUGGCCAGGACCUGUGCUGAGUAUUUAAGAUAUUUCAAAGCUUAAGGGUUCUCAACUAAGUUUAUGAGGCAUACAUGUCCUUUAAUCUUUAGGACUCCAAUUUUCUAUUAGUUAUCAAAAUAUACCUUAUGACCCAUCAGAUUAAUCAGAUAUUCUGUUUAUGUGAUUUAAGAGUUGGAAGGAAGGUGUUCAGAGACUAGCUUGAGGCCCAAGAUAGAAUCAUUUAACAACUAUACAAGAGGCAUAGAAAAUGAAGAGAGCAACAACAAAAAUGCCUUCAACAUGACUGUCACUCUCUGUGACAAAGAACCAUUCCCAUGUCAAGAAGUUUACUUCUUAGACAAGAGGUAAAAAAAUAUAUAUAUUAGUAACGCUGUUGGCAGAAUGUUUGGGAUUUCUUGUAUCAGCUGCAGAGAAAUAUCGCCAACUAGCUUUUCAAAUUAUAAGCUUAAGUUGUUAAUAUAAUUUAAUAAGAUAAAUAUUAUAUUGUACUUGAAUGUGGAAUGUACAAUUACAAAUUAAGAACCUUACAGGGUGAAUAUAGGUCAAUUUACCAUCUUUGUUAUCCUUCACCUUCUCGAAAUGAAAAAUUUGUGUGUAUUUUCAGUUUCCAAACUAUUUUGAAACUUUAUUUUCUGUCCAAUUCUUUGUAGAUUUUUAAACUUAUUUUAUAGGGCUUCUCUUAAAUGUAAAAUAGUGAAAUUAAUGCAAAGUUUAGAAAUAUUUGCAAGGCUUCCAGAAUCCUAAAUCAACUCAAUAGCUAGAGAGUUAUAGGGCUUGCAGCAACAUGUAGAACUGGUGUUCCAAACUGUUUCUCAGUAGCACUCCUGAUAUAUUGAGAAUUCCAUGGCCUGAUACCAUUCUAGAAGGUGAGAAACAAUGCAGUCAGUCUAGCAAGCCCCACCUUCUGGUCACAUCUCAGGCCCUCUCACUGUGGUGAAAGGGUCCGUUCAGGCAAAGUAGCAGUCUGUAGCUAGCUGCCUGAUCUAGAGCCUUCUGAGGACCUGCCCUGGAUUUACAGGAGAUGAAGUCGGCAAAAGGAAGGAUAAUACUGAACAACAAAGGAAGCAGAGGGAAACUGGAAGAGACCCACCUCACUAGCUUCAACUUCACACUGGAUAACUCCAGGAGAAAAAACUACUGAAGUUAACUUCAAAUUGUUUUAUACUUUCCAAGAAGAAAAAGAAAAAACGGCAUUCAGUAUGUUAAAGAGAAGACGUAUGAUUAUAAUUGCAUCAAUAUUUUGUAAAUGAAUGGAACAUCUUGAAAGUUAUAAGUACUAUACGAGAAUUUCUAAUUCAAAACUUAAAAACUUUGAGGUAAGAGAUAUAUCAAGCCUUAGAUAAAUAUUUCCUUCUAGACUAUAAAUUCCUUAAGGGUAGAAACCCUCAUUCUAUACUGUGUCUUUAGUGUCUUGAUUUCUGCUUCUUGAUCAGCUUUGCGUGACUUUGUUGACACUGGCUUAAUUGUGCACUUUAAUUCUGCUUUAAGACACAAAAAAGCCUAAGUGAUUUUGUUCAUUAUCUUAAAGCAUUGGAACUUUAGAUGUGAGUCACUAUAUUCCUGAGACCCAAGCUGGGAAUGGACCUCUGGGAUGCUACUGGCAAUACCAUGGGGAAGGAAGGAAGGAAUCUGGAAGGAAGAUUAAACAUUGGCACCACUUGUGAAACUAGACUUUUGUGGUGCAGACAAUGAUGACAAAGUUUGACAUAUUCCACGAAGCACAGUUUGUUGGAAUAUUUGACUAAAUCGGGUUCAAAACUUCAGAAGGAUCAGUUCUGCUGACAUAGAUCCCAUCAAGUUCAGAUCUUCUCCUCAUCUCCACCAUCUCAUGAGAAUAAGGAUCCUGCAUGGUUUGUGUCUAAGCUCCCGUGAACUUUGAUAUUGACAACCAACCAGCCCUGCUUUCUGUAGUCUCCACUCCACCCUAGUCUCUAGCAAGAUCCUUGGGGAAUAUUCAUGAGGAAUGCCUAUGGAGCCUUAUAUUCUCGUAACAUGUGAACAUCUUUGAGUCAAUUUGCAUUCUAAAUCUAUUACUAAGACAUUUUCCUGAAUCCUGUAUUGCUAGAGAAUUUUAUUCCUCAAAAUCUCAGAGGCGAGGAUAGGGAUAAAAGGAUGAGUGGUUUCGCAAGAAAAGCAAUCAGCAUGGGAGAAAAUUACAUAUUUUAAGGGAGAAUGCCAGGGCACUGGGAGAAGAAAGAGAUGAGGAGAGAAGACAUGAAAACAAGAAAAACAGAGACUAUUAGCAAUCUUUAUAAAUGAGAAGUGGCGAAGAAAGGGAGAGCCCUCUACGAAAAUGUUUUAAGAAGUGCUGCUCUAUGAUGCAGUUUCUUACAUAUCCUGUUCUGCUGCUUCAUGGAGAAACAUUUUGUUGGGACAUCUCAUCUCAUCUCAUGGCAUCGCAUCUUCUCUUGCCCUUAGACUGGAUUUACAUUGUUGGCUCCAGUCCAAAUAAUGACCUUUAGCCUCCAACUGAUUUAUACCACUUGGGUCUCCAACUUGCAGAAAGCAUAUCAUGGGACUUCUCAGCCUCUAUAACCACAUGAGCCAACUCCUCAUAAUAAAUCUUCUUUUAUAUAUAUGGAAGAUAUAUUUUAUAUGUAUAUUUGUUCUAUUUCUCUGGAGAAACCUAAUAUGGCAAUUUUUUAGUACUUUUGAUUUCAAUUUAAAAUUUUGGCCUGCUCAACUGCUCUGGAAGCCGUUUCAGAGGUAUUUAAUAGUAUUCUCUUUCUCUAUACUAUCUAAAAUAUUUGUUUUUAAAAAUACUGUGAAAUAU